UGUAGCAGUGAAAUGCGUAGAUAUCGAGAGGAACACUCGUGGCGAAGGCGGGUUCCUGGACAUUAACUGACGCUGAGGCACGAAGGCCAGGGGAGCGAAAGGGAUUAGAUACCCCUGUAGUCCUGGCAGUAAACGGUGCACGCUUGGUGUGCGGGGAAUCGACCCCCUGCGUGCCGGAGCUAACGCGUUAAGCGUGCCGCCUGGGGAGUACGGUCGCAAGAUUAAAACUCAAAGAAAUUGACGGGGACCCGCACAAGCGGUGGAGUAUGUGGCUUAAUUCGAUGCAACGCGAAGAACCUUACCUGGGCUUGACAUGUAAUGAACAACAUGUGAAAGCAUGCGACUCUUCGGAGGCGUUACACAGGUGCUGCAUGGCCGUCGUCAGCUCGUGUCGUGAGAUGUUUGGUUAAGUCCAGCAACGAGCGCAACCCCUGUUGCCAGUUACCAGCACGUGAAGGUGGGGACUCUGGCGAGACUGCCCAGAUCAACUGGGAGGAAGGUGGG
rnacentral:rRNA from 1 species